GGGGGGGGGGGGGGGGGGGGGGGGGGGGGGGGAGGGGAGGUGGGGGUGGGUGUGGCGGUGGCGGGGGGGGGGGUGGGGCGGGUGAACGGGACCUUGGGGAGGGGAGGACAAGUGGAGCGGGUUGCUAGUACCCCUUAGGCGCAGGAGGCACAUCAGAAUGUCGCCCCUGGCGGGGCGCUCUAGAUUUUGGCUAGUCGGUGAGGUAAUCCGUUACCAUGUCGAUGAUCAUUAGCUGGUGCGAGAGGAUGAUCAGCCACACUGGUACUGAGACACGGCCCAGAAGCAUACGGGAGGCAGCCGUGGAGAAUUUUCCGCAAUGGGCGAAAGCAUGACGGAGCAAUGCCGCGUGGAGGUGGAAGGCCUACGGGUCGUCAACGUCUUUUCUCGGAGAAGCAACUAUGACGGUAUCUGAGGAAUAAGCAUCGGCUAACUCUGUG
rnacentral:rRNA from 1 species